CCAAUCCUCUUCCUCUUCUAAUUAUUAAGUAUUGUUUUCUUAGAUUUUUUUCUCGACAUAAAAAUUUAGUGUCAACCAAUUUAAAACAUAAUACUAAAUUAAAAUAACAAAAAUACAUAUAUUUUAGUUUUUUAAAAAUAAUUUAAAUUACAAAACUCGGUUUCUAGGCAUGUCUUGUGUAGCAUUGGGCCACUUCGAUGAGUCACAAGGCCCAAAAACGGCCCGAAGUGGCCCAUCAAAAUUCAACUUUAGAUUAGGGUUUUGUUCAUGUGUAUAUAAAUCCGAAGCCGUAGCAUCCAGAACGUAGUCGAUCCUGUCACUCGCCCCGUUUGCAGGACCAGUGUUGUUUUUUGGCCGAUCGGUUAGCAGCUCUUCAACAUGAGGGCUAAGUGGAAGAAGAAGAGAAUGAGGAGAUUGAAGAGGAAGCGCCGAAAGAUGAGGCAAAGAUCCAAGUAGUUCGUGUCUGUUUUAAAUAAAAAGAGAAUCGUUCUUUUAGUCGUUACUGAUCUAGGACGAGUAAUAGUUGAAUUCUUGUGUUUCUGUUGGAUUUUUAUCGAGUUUUUUUUAGUUUCAAUGUGCAAUUUUGUUCGACUUAUUCACUCUGAGAUCUACAUUAUUGAAUUCACUGUCUGGAGUUUUUUAAACGUCGGUUGAUGAUAUGUUUGUUUAA